CGCGCGGCUGCGGCCGGGCGGGAGGUGUGUGCGCGCGUGCGGCGCGGUGCGGAGCGCGGGGCGCCGCGGGCUGUCAGGAGCCCGAUGGCGCGACGAGACGUGCGGGCCGGGCUCCGGGGGGCCGCCCCGGGCCGCGGCUGAGCCCCCCUGCAGCGGCCCGCGAGCAUGUCACCUCUGGUCGCCCGCGCAGUCUCCGCCAGCCGUGCGCGCGUACCCACGUCCCGCGGCCGCGCUGGCUGCCUACGACAGUGGCCCCCGGACCUCCGCCCCUGAUUGGCGCAGGGACGUAGCGCCAGAGGACCAUGGCCGGCCAGGGGGACUGCUGCGUGAAGGUGGCCGUCAGGAUCCGGCCGCAGCUGUCAAAGGAGAAGAUUGAGGGCUGUCACAUCUGCACCUCUGUCACCCCGGGGGAGCCCCAGGUCCUCCUGGGGAAAGACAAGGCCUUUACCUAUGACUUUGUCUUUGACCUGGACACGUGGCAGGAGCAGAUCUACUCGACCUGUGUGAGCAAGCUCAUCGAGGGCUGCUUCGAGGGCUACAAUGCCACAGUGCUGGCCUACGGGCAGACGGGGGCCGGGAAGACCUAUACCAUGGGCACCGGCUUCGACACGGUCACCUCAGAGGAGGAGCAGGGCAUCAUCCCGAGGGCCAUCGCGCACCUCUUUGGGGGCAUCGCGGAGCGCAGGCGGCAGGCGCAGGAGCAGGGCGUGGCGGGGCCCGAGUUCAAAGUCAGCGCUCAGUUCCUGGAGCUCUACAAUGAGGAGAUCCUGGACCUGUUCGACAGCACGCGGGACCCCGACUCCCGGCACCGCAAGUCCAACAUCAAGAUCCACGAGGACGCCAACGGGGGCAUCUACACCACGGGCGUCACCGCCCGUCUCAUCAACUCCCAGGAGGAGCUGAUCCAGUGCUUGAAGCAGGGGGCCUUGUCGCGCACCACGGCCAGCACCCAGAUGAACGUGCAGAGCUCCCGCUCCCACGCCAUCUUCACCAUCCACCUGUGCCAGAUGCGGGUGUGCGCCCAGCCGGACCUGGUGAGUGAGGGGGUGACUGGGCUUCCCGAGGGCUCAGCGCCCUCCAGCGAGUAUGAGACGCUCACGGCCAAAUUUCACUUUGUGGACCUGGCGGGCUCUGAGCGGCUGAAGCGCACGGGAGCCACGGGCGAGCGGGCCAAGGAGGGCAUCUCCAUCAACUGCGGCCUGCUCUCCUUGGGCAACGUCAUCAGUGCCCUGGGGGACCAGAGCAAGAAGGUGGUGCAUGUGCCCUACCGGGACUCCAAGCUCACUCGGCUCCUCCAGGACUCUCUGGGGGGAAACAGCCAGACCGUCAUGAUUGCCUGCGUGAGCCCCUCGGACCGUGACUUCAUGGAGACUCUCAACACCCUCAAAUACGCCAAUCGAGCGCGCAACAUUAAGAAUAAGGUGGUGGUGAACCAGGACAAGACGAGCCAGCAGAUCAGCGCUCUGCGGGCAGAGAUCGCGCGCCUGCAGAUGGAGCUCAUGGAGUACAAGGCGGGCAAGCGGGUGAUUGGCGAGGACGGCUCUGAGGGCUACAGCGACCUGUUCCGUGAGAACGCCAUGCUGCAGAAAGAGAACGGGGCACUGCGCCUGCGUGUGAAGGCCAUGCAGGAGGCCAUCGACGCCAUCAACAGCCGCGUCACCCACCUCAUGAGUCAGGAGGCCAAUUUGCUGCUGGCCAAGGCCGGUGAUGGCAAUGAGGCCAUAGGUGCUCUGAUCCAGAACUACAUCCGGGAGAUUGAAGAGCUGCGGACGAAGCUCCUGGAGAGUGAGGCCAUGAAUGAGUCCCUCCGUCGCAGCCUCUCCCGGGCCUCGGCUCGGAGCCCCUACUCUCUGGGGGCGUCCCCCGCUGCACCCGCCUUCAGGGGCAGCCCGGUCAGCAGCAUGGAGGACGCCACCGAGGUGAUCCGCAGGGCCAAGCAGGACCUGGAGCGGCUCAAGAAGAAGGAGGUCAGGCAGAGGAGGAAGAGCCCCGAGAAGGAGGCGUUCAAAAAGAGGGCAAAGCUCCAGCAGGAGAACAGCGAAGAGACAGAUGAGAACGAGGCGGAGGAGGAGGAGGAGGAGCGAGAUGAGAGCGGCUGUGAGGAGGAGGAGGGCCGCGAGGAUGAGGACGAGGACUCGGGCAGCGAGGAGAGCCUGGUGGACUCGGAUUCGGACCCCGAGGAGAAGGAGGUGAACUUCCAGGCGGACCUGGCCGACCUGACCUGCGAGAUCGAGAUCAAGCAAAAGUUGAUCGAUGAGCUGGAGAACAGCCAGCGGCGGCUGCAGACCCUCAAGCACCAGUAUGAGGAGAAGCUGAUUCUGCUGCAGAACAAGAUCAGGGACACGCAGCUCGAACGCGACCGAGUGCUGCAGAACCUCAGCACCAUGGAGUGCUACACGGAGGAGAAGGCCAACAAGAUCAAGGCCGACUACGAGAAGCGGCUGCGCGAGAUGAACCGGGACCUGCAGAAGCUGCAGGCGGCGCAGAGGGAGCACGCGCGGCUGCUCAAGAACCAGUCUCGCUACGAGAGGGAGCUCAAGAAGCUGCAGGCCGAGGUGGCCGAGAUGAAGAAGGCCAAGGUGGCUCUGAUGAAGCAGAUGCGGGAGGAGCAGCAGAGGCGGCGGCUGGCGGAGACCAAACGGAACCGAGAGAUCGCGCAGCUCAAGAAGGAGCACCGGCGACAAGAGUUUCAGAUCCGAGCACUGGAAUCCCAGAAGCGGCAGCAGGAAAUGGUGCUAAGGAGGAAAACGCAGGAGGUGACCGCUCUGAGGCGUCUGGCCAAGCCCAUGUCUGAGCGGGUGGCGGGGCGCGCAGGGCCCAAGCCCCCCAUGCUGGACUCGGGGGCCGAGGUGUCAGCCAGCACCACCUCGUCCGAGGCCGAGUCGGGGGCGCGCUCUGUCUCCAGCAUCGUGCGCCAGUGGAACCGCAAGAUCAACCACUUCCUGGGGGACCACCCCGCGCCCACUGUCAACGGCGCCCGCCCGGCCAGAAAGAAGUUCCAGAAGAAAGGGGCCAGCCAGAGCUUCAGCAAGGCGGCUAGGCUGAAGUGGCAGUCCCUGGAGCGGCGGAUCAUCGGCAUCGUCAUGCAGAGAAUGACCAUCGUCAACCUGGAGGCGGACAUGGAGCGGCUCAUCAAGAAAAGGGAGGAGCUGUUCCUCCUGCAGGAGGCGCUGCGGAGAAAGCGGGAGCGGCUGCAGGCCGAGAGCCCCGAGGAGGAGAAGGGGCUGCAGGAGCUGGCGGAGGAGAUCGAGGUGCUGGCGGCCAACAUCGACUACAUCAACGACAGCAUCACGGACUGCCAGGCCACCAUCGUGCAGCUGGAGGAGACCAAGGAGGAGCUGGACUCCACGGACACCUCCGUGGUCAUCAGCUCCUGCUCCCUGGCUGAAGCCCGCCUCCUGCUGGACAACUUCCUCAAGGCGUCUAUUGACAAGGGGCUGCAGGUGGCCCAGAAGGAGGCGCAGAUCCGGCUGCUGGAGGGUCGGCUGAGGCAGACGGACCUCGCCGGCGCCUCUCAGAACCACCUGCUCCUGGACGCCCUGCGGGAGAAGGCCGAGGCGCACCCCGAGCUGCAGGCCCUCCUCUACAACGUGCAGCAGGAGAACGGCUAUGCCAGCACUGAUGAGGAGAUCUCAGAGUUCUCGGAGGGGAGUUUCUCCCAGUCAUUUACCAUGAAAGGCUCCACCAGCCAUGACGAUUUCAAGUUCAAGGGGGAGCCCCGGCUAUCGGCGCAGAUGAAGGCGGUUUCUGCCGAGUGCCUGGGACCCCCGCUGGACAUCUCCACCAAGAACAUCACCAAGUCCCUGGCCUCCCUUGUGGAGAUCAAAGAGGACGCGGUGGGCUUCUCCGUGCGCGACCCCUACUACCGGGACAAAGUCUCCCGCACCAUCAGCCUGCCCACCCGCGGGAACACCUUCCCCCGCCAGUCCCGAGGUGCUGACAAAUCCCCUCUGACCCGCCGGAAGUCCUAUGACCGAGGGCAGCCCAUCAGGUCCACGGACAUGGGAUUCACGCCACCCUCGUCCCCUCCCACUCGGCCCCGAAACGACCGCAACGUGUUCUCUCGGCUCACCAGCAACCAGAGCCAGGGGUCCGCGCUGGACAAGUCUGAUGACAGCGACUCCUCUUUGUCGGAGGUCCUGAGGGGCAUCAUCUCGCCCCUCGGAGGGGCCAAGAGUGCUCGGACCGCCCCGCUGCAGUGUGUCUCUGUGGCCGAGGGCCACAGCAAGCCCAUCCUCUGCCUGGACGCCACCGACGAGCUGCUCUUCACGGGCUCCAAAGACCGCAGCUGUAAGAUGUGGAACCUGGUGACGGGGCAGGAGAUUGUGGCUCUGAAGGGUCACCCCAACAACGUGGUGUCCAUCAAGUACUGCAGCCACUCGGGGCUGGUGUUCUCCGUGUCCACCUCUUACAUUAAGGUGUGGGACAUCCGGGACUCGGCCAAGUGCAUCCGGACCCUCACGUCCUCGGGCCAGGUGAUCUCAGGGGAUGCCUGUGCGGCCACCUCCACGCGGGUCAUCACCAGUGCCCCAGGGGAGCACCAGAUCAACCAGAUUGCCCUCAGCCCCUCGGGCACCAUGCUGUAUGCCGCCUCAGGCAAUGCCGUCCGCAUCUGGGAGCUCAGCCGGUUCCAGCCAGUCGGCAAGCUGACGGGCCACAUUGGCCCCGUGAUGUGUUUGACGGUCACCCAGACAGCCAGCCAGCACGACCUGGUGGUGACUGGCUCCAAGGACCACUACGUGAAGAUGUUCGAGCUGGGGGAGUGUGUGGGGGGCACCAUCGGCCCCACCCACAACUUCGAGCCGCCACACUACGAUGGCAUCGAGUGCCUGGCCAUCCAAGGGGACGCGCUGUUCAGCGGCUCCAGGGACAACGGCAUCAAGAAGUGGGACCUGGAGCAGCAGGGGCUUGUCCAGCAAAUCCCCAACGCGCACAAGGACUGGGUGAGCGCGCUGGCCUUCGUGCCCGGCCGCCCCAUGCUGCUGAGCGCCUGCCGCGCGGGCGCCAUCAAGGCUUGGAACGUGGACAACUUCACGCUCAUCAGCGAGAUCAAGGGCCACGACAGCCCCAUCAACGCCAUCUGCACCAACGCCAAGCACGUCUUCACCGCCUCCAGUGACUGCCGGGUCAAGGUGUGGAAUUACGUGCCUGGACUCACCCCCUGCGUUCCACGCCGGGUCCUGGCCAUAAAGGGCCGUGCCACCACCCUGCCCUGACCCUGCCCUGACCCCGCCCCCCGCCCCCCUCUUUCCUCUCCCUCUCUCUCUCCACUUCGAUCUGAGCUGCUUCUUCACGCGACCUGACCGUGAAGAUCUGGAGCGGACGGCGGUUACCUGGGGCCCAGGAGUGACAACCCCCCAGCACAGCAGGAAAGUGGGGGACCCCACCCCUCUGACCGGCGGCGACUGGAGACAGGGGUGCCGACCCCGGGGUGUGGCCCCUCCCCCUCUCCUUCCUCACUCUCAGUCUCCCCCAGUCUGUGCCCCCACGGAGAGAGCGGGGUGGGAGAGAAAUUAAGCUGUGAAGCCGAAGGGCUCCGUCCCCUCCUUUCUCCUCCUCAGCCCUUGGCCUGCCCCCCGACCCCCAGCCCCUGCACCUGCCUCUGAGCCCCACAAGCUAGUCCUCAGGUACCCACGGAAACCAGGUGUAGCCGCUGGGCUCCGCGUGCCCUCCACACCGUGCCCGCGGCAGUGGUGCUGGGAGGCAUCAGAAAUCCUUCGGUUAUUUAAUUUAUUUUUUUAUUUCCGUUCGUCGCUGUUGCCGCCUGGACACGGACUUGAAGUUUCUUCUCCUGCAUUCUCUCCCGCAGCUCUGAGGGGGCCCAGAGAUCCCAAACGGGGCCCCUCCACCUGGCCCCGGGCCCCCGCUGGGUGCUUUGUGCAGGAGGGACCCCCGCCUUGGGCAGCCAUGCCGGGGCCCCCUCGACGCACCCCUGACCUCUCGGCCUGGUGCUUCGGUGCCUUCCUCCCUGCCGGCAGCCUUACAGCCCGCGCCCCACACACCUCUCCCCCCUGCGGCUCCCAGGAAGGCACCCUGAGACCCGGCACGGGGGCCCCACCUCGGAAGCAGCCCCGGCUACUACGGCACUCGUGAGACUUUGGACGCCGCCCAGGGCUCAGGAGACACGAGAUCGAGCCUUACCUCGGAUGCAGGCUGCUGCCUUGUGGGAGGCAGGGAGGAUGCGCCAGGCCACUGGCUGCCUGGCCGGGGGAUUCCCGGAAGGGGCCCUCGGGAAGGGGCGCCCUCGCACCCAUCCUGGGUCCGAACCUGCCGCCCUUGUUUUCCGUCCUUUACCCUACCCGGCGCUUCUUGCGGCUGCAGUCUCCCUGGGGGUCAGGACCCCCAACUCUGUUCAGAAGAAACUUUGAGACGUUAGGGCUCCGUGUCUGCCCUGGGAGGCCGGUGCCCCAGGCAGCAGGGCCAGAGGAGGCCAGAAAAGGCCAAAAAAUUGAAUAAACCGGCUGAGGCUGGAGCUCGGGGCCUGGCGCUGCCGCCGUAGUGAGGCGGUGGCCCCUGCAGACCGGUUGGAGAUGCCAGUGCCACCUGCCCGUGUCCUGCGGCCGAGCAAGGACGGUCGUGACAACUGGAACCCCCAUCCCCACCCCACCGCCCGCCUGCCUGCCCCUCUCCUACCUGAACAGAAAAAGCAUGGAGCGCGCCCCGUGAGAUAGCCUCCCCUCUGCAUGAACGUCCUGCCCGAGCCUGCGCCCCCCCGCCCCCGUCCGUCCGUGCCCACCCGGUGCCCGGUGCUCCUCUCCGUACUCCUGCUGGUGCUCCUCCCCGUGCUCCCGCUGGUGCUCCUCCCCGUGCUCCCCGAGGUGCUCUCUCCCCUGCUCUCUGCCGUCCGCCCUGGCUCAGCUACCUCACGGGCACGGCUCUCCGUCCUGCCGCCACCCCGUUGACUCUGAACUUGAAGGCCCUCCCGGAGCCCCCCCCACCCCCCCCCCCCGCACAGCCCGAGCUCCGGAGAGGCCUCCGCCGCUUUCAGGGAUGUCCACGGUACCUAGUUAGGGGCAGGCCCCUGGCUCCCCCCUAGUCGCACAAGUUCCCGAAAUGCUGGAAGCACAAAUGGAUUGUGAUGGGAGCACAAGAGCCCUGGCCCCGGGGCAUUAGGGGUGGGGGGUGGGGGGUGGGGGUGGGGGAGAAGGCGGGGAGGCUGGGCCCAAAUCUGGACUGGCUGGCCCCUCUCGGGAAGGAACGACCUUUGUAGACCCCGUAGCCCCCACCCACCAAUGCACACCCCAGCCCCCCAGCCCCUGCAUGCUUUCAGGAUUGUGUGAGAGUCCCCUGCUCUGGGGGAGGGGGUUCCUCCCUGUGGCGGUCAGGCCUCCCCACAACCAUGCUGGGUCCGGGCCACUGCCCGCCUUCCCUGUCCCCACACUCUGUUGGCUUCACCCAAGGGACCCCCUGCGCCCCCUGCUGGCCAUCUGGAGAAGCCUCAAGAUGGCCCGGGUGGCAGGGCCGGGCCGAGGGUGGCACCCUGGGCCUUUGGGGUGUCCGGGAGCUCCCCCCACCUCUAGCGCUGACUUAGACCUUCCCCGAGUCUUCGGACCCUGCCCACCGCCCAGGGCGGUGCCCCCAAGUUGGUGCGGAUAGAGGUGGGCAGCCGCGGGGGCCAGAGGCAGCCAAGGCACCGGGGUGCUCCUGAGCCACCCCGGCUGGCACGGCACCUGCCUGGGCCUGCAGACAGGAGCAGGAGCAGCUUCCCGGGCGCUGGCCCAGCACUGGCACCUGUCCCUUUGCCAUCCCAGACAGGAAGCUGCUCCCUGGCCUGGUCUGGCAGUGCCACCUGGGCCUGGCCUUCCUCGCCUGGCUUCCAGAUCCUGCCCUGCCCCGCUCGGUGUAAGAACAGACCCCGCAGGGGAAGCUCGGUUUCCUUCCUGGCAUCGGUGAGGGGGGUCUAUUGCCCACCCCCUGCCUCUUCCCCCGACCUUGGCUGAGCCCCCACACCCCGCCCGAGUCCAGUCCAGUCCUUUGAACCCCUGUCCCGAAAGUCCUUCGGGGAAGCUGGUCAGUCCCGGAAGGGCCUGGGGUCCGAGGAAAGCCAAGAAGAGAAGGGACCUGGCCCAGCCCACCCUCCCUGGCAGCGCACAGUGUACAUACCUUUUGUACCUCUGCCGACGGCUGUACAUAGUGUAUGAAAGUUGUCGCCUCCUCCCACUGUACAGUUCUGUCCCCGGAUGUGUGUGUCCUAAGAUGUUCUCCUCAAUAAAACCUGAGUCACGUGC